rnacentral:lncRNA from 1 species
UAAAAAUAAAGAUUAAUUGCAUGCAGGUCCCUGCAAAUAUAGUGAAUUAUAAAUAUAUCCCUAUAAUUCACUGUUUUCAAAUAUGCCCCUGACGUUAGAAUUUAUUAGAAAAAUUUAGUUGUAAAUAUUUAACCAUAGUUAGUUAAUGAGGUAAUUGACCUUUUUACCCCUCUUCAAUUAAUCGUUGGGAUUUUUAGAGGAACAUAUUUAUGAUGGCAAAAAGGUUAUUUUACUUAUAAAAUAGAUAGUGCUUUAACGAUAACAAAUUAGAGGGAUAUAUUUGAAAAUAUUAGGAUUUCUGUAAGGACAAUAUAUGAAAAUUGAACUUUGUAGAGAUAUAUUUAUAAUUCACUAUAUUUAUUAGGCUCCGUUUGGAUCGGGAAUUAGUAGGAACUAGUUAUACCGGAGAUAGGUACAAGUAUGGAUUUUUGUAGGAAUAAAGGUAUUUUUUUGUUUGGAUGAAAUUAUGAGUAUAAACUGGAACUAGAAAAAUUGUGUUUGGAUGGUUAUCAGGAAUAAGAGAAAUAGUGGGUAGUUGAACUUUUUAAAUACCCAAAAUACCCCUCUCU